rnacentral:rRNA from 1 species
GACGAACGCUGGCGGCGUGCCUAAUACAUGCAAGUAGAACAGUUGCGAACGGGUGAGUAACGCGUAGGUAACUGCCUCAUAGCGGGGGAUAACUAUUGGAAACGAUAGCUAAUACCGCAUACUGUGAGAUGGACCUGUGUUGUAUGUGCAAGUUGGUGAGGUAAAGGCGCACCAAGGCGACGAUACAUAGCCGCCCUGAGCGGGUGAUCGGCCACACUGGUACUGAGACACUGCCCAGACUCCUACGGGAGGCAGCAGUAGGGAAUCUGCGGCAAUGGGCGGAAGUGUGACCGAGCAACGCCGCGUGAGUGAAGAAGGUUUUCGGAUCGUAAAGCUCUGUUGUUGUAUAAGCGGUAGCUAACCAGAAAGGGACGGCUAACUACGUGCCAGCAGCCGCGGUAAUUC